rnacentral:rRNA from 1 species
CUCCAUGUGUAGCGGUGGAAUGCGUAGAUAUAUGGAAGAACACCAGUGGCGAAGGCGGCUGUCUAGUCUGUAACUGACGCUGAGGCUCGAAAGCAUGGGUAGCGAACAGGAUUAGAUACCCUGGUAGUCCAUGCCGUAAACGAUGAGUGCUAAGUGUUGGAGGGUUUCCCCCUUCAGUGCUGCAGCUAACGCAUUAAGCACUCCGCCUGGGGAGUACGACCGCAAGGUUGAAACUCAAAGGAAUUGACGGGGGCCCGCACAAGCGGUGGAGCAUGUGGUUUAAUUCGAAGCUACGCGAAGAACCUUACCAGGUCUUGACAUCUUCUGCCAAUCUUAGAGAUAAGACGUUCCCUUCGGGGACAGAAUGACAGGUGGUGCAUGGUUGUCGUCAGCUCGUGUCGUGAGAUGUUGGGUUAAGUCCCGCAACGAGCGCAACCCUUAUUAUCAGUUGCCAGCAUUCAGUUGGGCACUCUGGUGAGACUGCCGGUGACAAACCGGAGGAAGGUGGGGAUGACGUCAAAUCAUCAUGCCCCUUAUGACCUGGGCUACACACGUGCUACAAUGGACGGUACAACGAGUCGCGAAGUCGUGAGGCUAAGCUAAUCUCUUAAAGCCGUUCUCAGUUCGGAUUGUAGGCUGCAACUCGCCUACAUGAAGUUGGAAUCGCUAGUAAUCGCGGAUCAGCAUGCCGCGGUGAAUACGUUCCCGGGCCUUGUACACACCGCCCGUCACACCAUGAGAGUUUGUAACACCCAAAGCCGGUGAGAUAACCUUCGGGAGUCAGCCGUCUAAGGUGGGACAGAUGAUUAGGGUGAAGUCGUAACAAGGUAACCA